UUCAAAUCCCGCCAGGAACACCACCACUAGUGUGCCCUUGAGUGCCAGCUUUACGCAAAAUGAUUAUACAAAAUGAUUAUACAAAAUGAAAACUUUACUUUUUUGAAAAUAUUUACAUAUUUGGAAGAAUGUCAUGUAAUAUUUGAAAAUUGAAUUCUGGCAAUUGACCCUCUGUAGAAAUUGUCUGUAGCUGCCAUACAUUAUUUGACUUGCUGUUUGUCAACCACAGCUUCCCAGUACGUCUGUAUGUAUGAUGUCUGCUUGUAUAUUGUUUUACAAUGACAUCCUGUCAGAGCCAUGUGUACAUUGUCAAUGUAAUCUUUGGGUUUUGAUCUAUUAUUUAGAAGCACGAGCCAUUUUUUUAGGGAUUGCCUUUCUAAUAAUGAAUAAUUCACUUACCCAAUUCCUUUUAUCCUGAAGCUUAUGGCAUAUCUUUAAUGCAAAUUAUACCUUAGUCAAUCCAAUGUUGAUACAUUAAUGAAUUUCCUCUAAGAUCCGUUAUAUACUUAGAUCCCCAAAUGGUCUGGUUUCCAACCUCCUCUCCUGUACGGCUCCUUUAGUGUUCCACCCCCUGCUUUCUGCCAGCUAGCCCAUCUUUGAAUGACACAUUGAUAGAAAGAAGGAAUCCCUGUUCAAAUCAAGGUCUUUCCGAAUCAAUUGAGAAAUAGUUUAGGCAAUAGCUUCCAGUCCCCUGAUGUUGGGUGAUUGAUCCAUAAUACGCUUCAACCAACCGUAAUGAAGUGCUUCUCUGUGAGAUAAAAAUAUAUAGCAUUUUAAACCCUGUCUCAUAAUCUCCAGUGAUAACUGAUCUUUUUCAAUUGUAUGCCUCUUUCCAGACCAAAUAGUCUAGGGGUAAGAUGAAUAACUUGGCUUUGGAUAAGUUGAGCCUAUAAAUAAGGGAAAAUACUGUACCGUACACCACAUGGCUUUAAUACAUACAUAUUGUUUAUGAGGAGAGAAAAGCUGUGUUUUUCAUCAACGCAUAUAUGAAAGGAAGUUACAUCAACACACAUAAGAUAAUUGCAUAACACAAAUUCCCCUUAAACCUUCAUCUUAUUCAAAGAAGAAUUAGAGCAUAAUAAAUGAAGCGGUAAUACUGGCUAUGCAUCAUACUUAUAAUGUAUUAUAAUCAGCUUAUAACACUAUAAUUAUUGUUCUAGGAACUCAUUGAUGCUCAUAAAUGAAGCAGUUGAUGUGGGAUUCAGCAGUAGUAGGAUUCAAGGCGUUUUUAGAAUCGGCUAUACAGUUAUACAGAAGGACCAGAGUUUACUCUGAAUAGGAAGUGUUUUAAGGAAGAUUUCAGAACCCAUGGUGUAGGACUAAAACACAUACACGCAUAUUACAAUCACUCACUUAGACUGGCCUCCAAUGUGUUAAAACAAGAGACGCAGAUCAGUGCCCCUUAUGGGGUUAAUUAGGGUUAGGCUUGGGGCUAGGGGUAAAGAUAGUUUUGAGGGAACAUAGGGCUGACUGUAGGUACGCUCCUGUGUAUGACAGUGCAAAAUGUUUGCCUAUUCUUUGACUCCUGUUGUCUGUUAUUCUGUGUUAAAGUAGUAAUAGUCUGUCCUUUAGCACAGUUACAUAUCUGUCUGGUACAAAUGUUUAAGUGAACAGCUUGACCUGUAUCUGUUUUUGUGUACUUGUCUAGGCGGAUGAUGUGUCCCUUCAAAAUGUGGCAGGCAAGACAGUUUUCUGAAUCUUUCAACAGUGUAAUAGAAUCGGACCAUAUUUUCAUCAGCAUCCUGGGCUGUACAAAGAGCAGUUAGCACUGUUGAAAAAAGGACACAUAUAUGAGAGAAGUAUAACAGUUUAUUUUGUAUAACAUGUAAAGCCUUGAAACACAAUAUUUGUAUGCACAAAUUACUCAAGUAUAAAUACUUCAGCCCAUUGUGUCCGAUGACAGCGGAAGGAGAGAGCUGGUUAGGAAGGCGUAACUCCUUUUCCCCGCAGCGUUCCAUAACUUAAGCAUUGGUCUGUUUAUAGGAAAACAUAUGCAGCACUGUGCAGUUGUGGAGGAUGCAGGACUUAAACAUAAGUAUGAUUAAAACGAGCUACGCCAUUACCCUCUCCACAACAAAUAAAUUAUUAUUAUUAACAGACAGAACAGACGUGACUAGGAACUCUCAAGUAAACACGUGGCUCAUAACCCUUUAGGAAACGCCCCCUAUAGGAUCCUCCCUUUAUAGGAACCACCCCCUGCCUGCGGUCUGCAUCCAGACCCAUCUCCCAGCUGGGUGUAAAAAAGUAGGGCUUAACUCUAACGUCGGGCUUAGCUACGUCCGACUUAGUGAUUCGAAUUUACACCGAGUGCACCAAGCCUGACUAGUCUCGGGCGUAGCUGCGCCUGGUCUUAAGAUGCGCGUCCACGUGAAUACACGCAAAACAGUAAUUGUUGCCAAGCAACACACGUCUAUAUAAUUUAACACUCAAACUCCUCCAUUCAGAGCAAGCUAAGAAUUGAAUAACGAAUAUGGAUAACGGAAAGAAGAGAAAAAACUAUUUUACUGAUAGAGAGAUUAGAACAUUAAUGGAAAUAUAUGCAGAGCAUAAAAACUCGCUAACUGCCAAAUGUAAUAAUACCAUGACAAACCAACACAAACUCGCAGCCUGGAAGUCAAUCACUGGUGCGAUAAAUGACUUGGGUGAUGGAGGGAUACGGACGGUGGAAGAGUGUAGGAAAAAGUGGAAGGACCUACUAUCCAGAGCCAAAAAGGAUGCAUCGGUUCUCAAAAACCCUCCGACCGGCGGAGGCCCUGCUCCAAAAACCUCUCCAUACAGCAAAAUCAUUAUUGCUAUUUUUGGAGAGGAUUCCCCCACUUUCACCGGGUUGAAUGGGAUCGACAGCUAAGAGCCCUCAACCUCAACAUUUGAAGAGGUUGACGCAGACGUGUCAGCUGUCACUAGUGACUCAGAGGACCGCAGAGAAGAGGGAAGUCCCUCACCCGUCAGCGAUGACUCAAGGGGAAUCCCAAAUGGCCACACCCCGAAAGAGAAAGAGGGAUUUGUCAGAGCUACAGCGGGAACUGACGGAGAAAGAAAUCGUUCGUGUGGAGGUGGAGACCGUCAAAUUGAGAGUGGAACACGAAGAAAUUGAGAUGGAGAAAUUGAGACUCCAAAUAAUAAUUCUUAAGAAUCAGCUACUAAUCACUGAAGAAGACAAUGUGUUCACCGUUCUGUAAUCAUGUUGUACUUGUUUUUUAUCUCAAUUUCAUGUUAAUAGUUCUCCAAAAUGUUGUUAUUUAAUGUUCUUAUGUUCUUUGAAUAAAAUAGGCCUAAUGAAAA